rnacentral:rRNA from 1 species
CCUACGGGAGGCAGCAGUGAGGAAUAUUGGUCAAUGGCCGUAAGGCUGAACCAGCCAAGUCGCGUGAAGGAAGAAGGAUCUAUGGUUUGUAAACUUCUUUUAUAGGGGAAUAAAGGUAUCCACGUGUGGAUAUUUGCAUGUACCCUAUGAAUAAGCAUCGGCUAACUCCGUGCCAGCAGCCGCGGUAAUAAGGAGGAUGCGAGCGUUAUCCGGAUUUAUUGGGUUUAAAGGGUGCGUAGGUUGUUUUUUAAGUCAGCGGUGAAAGUUUGGGGCUCAACCAUAAAAUUGCCGUUGAAACUGGACGACUAGAGUGAGUUUGAGAGAGGUGGAAUGCGUGGUGUAGCGGUGAAAGGCAUAGAGAUGACGCAGAAUUCCGAUUGCGGAGGCAGCUUACUAGGACAUAACUGACACUGAAGCGCGAAAGCGUGGGGAUCAAACAGGAUGAGAUACCCGUGUAGUC